rnacentral:rRNA from 1 species
UACAGAGACGUCGAGCGUUGUUCGGAUUCAUUGGGCGUAAAGGGUGCGUAGGCGGUGAGGUAAGUCGGAUGUGAAAUACCAAAGCUCAACUUUGGAAGGGCAUCCGAAACUCCCUCGCUCGAGGACUGGAAGGGAGACUGGAAUUCUCGGUGUAGCGGUGAAAUGCGUAGAUAUCGAGAGGAACACCUGUGGCGAAGGCGGGUCUCUGGACAGUUCCUGACGCUGAGGCACGAAAGCCAGGGGAG